GAUUGAAAAAUGGCUACAGCUGUUGUGCCUGGGUCCGGCGCUUCAACUUUGAACAGGAACAUAUCUGAUGAAGAACGAAGAUGGAUGGUUAUUGGUAUAUGUCUCAACAAAGUUUUGACACCUACACUAAGAGAUGUCCUCAGUGUUGAAAUACCUAAAUGGCAUCAGACCUUGGUUAAACAUCCUAUAGAAAUUGAUAAACAAACGUUUGGAAAGUUUGUGAAAAACCUGCUGCCAUCAACCAUAAAGUUGAACUAUGACAGUGUCAACAACAAUGUUGUACACAAGUCUGCAAAGUUAUAUGAUUAUGCUGUAAAAGACCCUUUGUCUUUGGCGAAAUUGUUUGUGAAACCUUUCAUGGCAAGUUUCACUGGUUUUGACCACACCAUGGAUACCUCUGCUGUUCUGUCAGUAAUAUGUGAAGCACAACCAUUCAUUACUUGUGGUGCUGCAGUUCAUGCAAAGAAGAUCAGGUCGGAUAUUAGGAAUGAAUGGGCACAUUGCGAUUUUUCACAUUGGACCAAGCCAAUUUUCCAAACUGCUUUGAACGACAUUGAAUCCUUGGUCAGGACUCUAGGUUUGACAACAGUGGAAGAGAAAAUUGUUCUUGAUGAAAUUGAUAAGUGGAGGAACAAUGGUAAGUAUUGAUAAUGCGCCCUGUUAUUAUACUGUAUAUUUUAUAUAAUCAGAGAUUGCAGGUUGAUUUUAAGAUUGAAGUCAUUGAACCAGUGGGCUGUCUUUGAUAUGAACUGACGUUUGAGGUCAUUUCUACUGUGUUUCCACGCCAGGCGAGUUUGCUUGACCGCGGUGAGAAUGGAAGCCGCGAUCUUUGGUUUACUUCGGUUCGAAUAGUUGAUAUUAGUAUGUGCCGUAUGAUCCUGAAUGUAAUGAUUAUGAUGUAUGUAAUCACGUGAAAUUAUUGGAGUUCAUGCUACUCUGAGUGUAUCCACACUCGCCAAGCUUCAACGUUUCCUACUGUACACCGAUUCUCACCACGGUCAAGCAAAUUUUUAGCUUGCUCUGUGUGGACGCAGUUACAGUAGCAUCAUCUCAAAUGAUUUCACCUGAGUACAUAAACAACAAUCAUUACAUUUAUAAACUGACCUUGGAGUGUCUGAACGGAUGCCCUCACCAGAAAAUUUAUAAAAGUCAAAGCCUGAAAACUGGAAUUUUCCACCAGUAAUUGUGCUUGAAAUUUUCAGGUUUGUCGUCAUAAUAUGCAGAUAUAUUUUUGAAAUAUUCAUAGUGACAACGAGAUCCGGGGCGGAUCUACCAUGAGGGUACAGCUGGUGCGCACCCCAUAUGAUGGAGUCCAGCAUCACUCUAAAAAAUCUGCUUGACCAUACAUUUCUGCUUUUCGAAUAGCGAUUAGCGGAACUUCUAUUGUUAGCGCGCGUUUAUUUUGUUGAAACGAUAUAAAAUUGAUUUGUGAGCUCACGAGAAAAUACUCAGAAUGCUUUACCUAAACAUUACUAUUAAACAUGUAAACAGCCAUAUUUUCAAAUAUAUUGUACUUUAAUAAGCAAACUAUCCAGUCACGCAUACUAUACGUGAUAAAAAGCCGAUAUAAACUGUAUAAAGAAAAAUAAUAUAAAACUUAUAACAGUACGGCGAACAUGCAGAUUCGGCUAUCUCAAAAUAAUGGCAAUGUUGGGAUAGCAGCGCUGCCGACUGCAGAGGAGAAUGGGCAGCAAAACCUGCAUCCCUCCUUGCAGAUGAGGCUAAGUCCGCCCCUGAACUAGAUUAUCCCUUUAUGAAGAAAACAAUAAUUACAAAAAUUAGUGCAUUUAUGUAUUCAACAUAUCAUUUAGUCACCGAAUUUAUCUAAAUUUUGAAACUGUGCCAGGCUGUCUUUGUGCAGCGGUUCAAAACUUAGGUGGCUCUUGAACCCGUUUUUUGGAGUAUGGAGUAUGGUUUCAGUUUGUUAAAUUCCCGUUCUUGGCGUUCUAUUAUAAUAUCGAUUGAUAACCAAAAAGCAGCAUUUUCUGCAACUUCAAUUUUAAUUCCCAGGGAUACAGCUAUGCAUUGGUAACCCAGUAGAUUGUGAGCUUCUCGAUCUUAUCCAAACCGAAGUUGGAAAUCUUCAGGAGUCUGUCACGCUGUUUAAUGAAGACACAAAGGCGGAUAAGG
rnacentral:lncRNA from 1 species